rnacentral:tRNA from 1 species
GCCACCGUAGCUCAGGGGUAGAGCAGCUGUUUCGUAAACAGCAGGCCAACGGUUCAAAUCCGUUCGGUGGCUCCA